rnacentral:tRNA from 1 species
GACCCCAUCGUCUAGAGGCCUAGGACACCGCCCUUUCACGGCGGCAACGCGGGUUCGAAUCCCGCUGGGGUCG